CAGCAAAGGUUACACAAAUCCAGUAAGCACUGCACAAGAAAAGUAGUGAGUACGAAAGAUUGGCUCAUCCUUCGGAUGUCCAAGGAUAAGAGCACUGGUUAAGUAACCAAUUUGUCAUGUCACAUGAGCUGCUGAAUGAGGAAGUGAUACUGCAUCAGCGCAUUGAAAAGCAAGUGAUUUUAACUUCAAAAGUAAUUGAGAAAUGAAGUAGCUUAAAGCUAUGAAAAUCUCUUCCGUGAGCAAGGACUGCUAAAGAAACUGCCAGUUAAGACUACUGAUGGAAUAAAUGCAGCAGAGGAAGUAGAUUGCA
rnacentral:lncRNA from 1 species